rnacentral:rRNA from 1 species
AUUAGCAUAUCAAUAAGCGGAGGAAAAGAAACCAACAGGGAUUGCCCUAGUAACGGCGAGUGAAGCGGCAACAGCUCAAAUUUGAAAGCUGGCCUUCUGGUCCGCAUUGUAAUUUGCAGAGGAUGCUUUUGGCGCGGUGCCUUCCGAGUUCCCUGGAACGGGACGCCUUAGAGGGUGAGAGCCCCGUACGGUUGGACACCAAGCCUCUGUAAAGCUCUUUCGACGAGUCGAGUAGUUUGGGAAUGCUGCUCUAAAUGGGAGGUAAAUUUCUUCUAAAGCUAAAUACCGGCCAGAGACCGAUAGCGCACAAGUAGAGUGAUCGAAAGAUGAAAAGCACUUUGAAAAGAGGGUUAAACAGCACGUGAAAUUGUUGAAAGGGAAGCGUUUGCGACCAGACUUUUUCCUGGCGGAUCAUCCGGUGUUCUCACCGGUGCACUUCGCCAGGUUUAGGCCAGCAUCGGUUUCUGUAGGGGGAUAAAAGCUUGGGGAAAGUAGCUCUUUCGGGAGUGUUAUAGCCCCUGGCAUAAUACCCCUACGGGGACCGAGGAUCGCGCUCUGCAAGGAUGCUGGCGUAAUGGUCGUCAACGACCCGUCUUGAAACACGGACCAAGGAGUCGAACAUUUGUGCGAGUGUUUGGGUGUUAAACCCUCACGCGUAAUGAAAGUGAACGGAGGUGAGAGCCCUUUCGGGUGCAUCAUCGACCGAUCCUGAUGUCUUCGGAUGGAUUUGAGUAAGAGCAUUAAUGUUCGGACCCGAAAGAUGGUGAACUAUGCGUGGAUAGGGUGAAGCCAGAGGAAACUCUGGUGGAGGCUCGCAGCGGUUCUGACGUGCAAAUCGAUCGUCAAAUCUGCGCAUGGGGGCGAAAGACUAAUCGAACCAUCUAGUAGCUGGUUACCGCCGAAGU